GAUGAACGCUGGCGGCGUGCCUAAUACAUGCAAGUCGAGCGAACAGACGAGGAGCUUGUUCCUCUGACGUUAGCGGCGGACGGGUGAGUAACACGUGGAUAACCUACCUAUAAGACUGGGAUAACUUCGGGAAACCGGAGCUAAUACUGGAUAAUAUAUUGAACCGCAUGGUUCAAUAGUGAAAGACGGCUUUGCUGUCACUUAUAGAUGGAUCCGCGCCGCAUUAGCUAGUUGGUAAGGUAACGGCUUACCAAGGCAACGAUGCGUAGCCGACCUGAGAGGGUGAUCGGCCACACUGGAACUGAGACACGGUCCAGACUCCUGCGGGAGGCAGCAGUAGGGAAUCUUCCGCAAUGGGCGAAAGCCUGACGGAGCAACGCCGCGUGAAUGAUGAAGGUCUUCGGAUCGUAAAACUCUGUUAUUAGGGAAGAACAAAUGUGUAAGUAACUAUGCACGUCUUGACGGUACCUAAUCAGAAAGCCACGGCUAACUACGUG
rnacentral:rRNA from 1 species